rnacentral:rRNA from 1 species
CCUACGGGAGGCAGCAGUUUCGAAUCGUUCACAAUGGGGGCAACCCUGAUGGCGCGACGCCGCGUGGGGGAUGAAGGUCUUCGGAUUGUAAACUCCUGUCAUGGGGGACUAAUGGCCAGGCUCAUACCCUGGUUUGAAUUAACCCCAAGAGGAAGCAGUGGCUAACUCUGUGCCAGCAGCCGCGGUAAU